rnacentral:rRNA from 1 species
UAUGUUGGCCGGGCGACGGUUGUCCCGGUUUAAGCGUGUAGGUGUGUGUUCCAGGUAAAUCCGGUUCACUUUAACACUGAGGCGUGAUGACGAGGCACUACGGUGCUGAAGCAACAAAUGCCCUGCUUCCAGGAAAAGCCUCUAAGCAUCAGGUAACAUCAAAUCGUACCCCAAACCGACACAGGUGGUCAGGUAGAGAAUACCAAGGCGCUUGAGAGAACUCGGGUGAAGGAACUAGGCAAAAUGGUGCCGUAACUUCGGGAGAAGGCACGCUGACA